CUAGGAGCUGCCGUUGAUUUCAGGCCCAGUGAACAGAGCCGGGUGCGAAGGCAGAGGGCUGGAAGGAAAUGCAUGCUGCCGCACAUCAGCAGAGGCAGUGGACUGAGGAAGGCUGAGUGUCGUGGUUUAGCCCCAGCUGGCAGCUAAGUACCACACAGCUGCUCGCUCACUCCUUCCCCCCUGGGUGAGAUGGUGAGGAGAAUCAGAAGAAAAAGGUAUAUGCUUACUGCAGGUAAUGGAGUUAGCCGUGUCAAUACCUGAUAUUGAAUCUGCUGUAGUGCCAGAGCACAGAGGGCAAAGCUAAGGCUGAACAUCCACCAAAACCUCAGCACUUACUAGUCCUGAAGGCCUGAAUCCAAAACAGGACACACCAUGUCUUUACGAAUUGAUGCAAUAGCAAACACAGAGUGCCUCUCACCAACAGACUGAUGCCCAGCCGUCUUCGGGCAAUGGCUACCUUGGAAAGACUCCCCCAGUACCGGUUCUCUUACUGAGCAUGAUGUUACAUGGUAUG